rnacentral:rRNA from 1 species
GACGAACGCUGGCGGCGUGCCUAAUACAUGCAAGUCGAACGCAGUGGGGACGGGUGAGUAACACGUGGGUAACCUCCCAUCAGAGGGGAUAACACUUGGAAACAGGUGCUAAACCGAUACUGAUGGAUGGACCCGCGGUGCAUUAGCUAGUUGGUGAGGUCACGGCUCACCAAGGCCACGAUGCAUAGCCGACCUGAGAGGGGGAUCGGCCAAACUGGUACGGAGAAACGGACCAGAAUCCUACGGGAGGCAGCAGGAGGGAAUGUUCGGCAAUGGACGAAAGUCUGACCGAGCAACGCCGCGGGAGUGAAGAAGGUUUGCGGUGCGUAAAACUCUGUUGUGAGAGAAGCGGUAUCUAACCAGAAAGCCACGGCUAACUACGUGCCAGCAGCCGCGGUAAUAC